GGGUUGUGAGGUUAAGCGACUAAGCGUACACGGUGGAUGCCCUGGCAGUCAGAGGCGAUGAAGGACGUGCUAAUCUGCGAUAAGCGUCGGUAAGGUGAUAUGAACCGUUAUAACCGGCGAUUUCCGAAUGGGGAAACCCAGUGUGAUUCGUCACACUAUCAUUAACUGAAUCCAUAGGUUAAUGAGGCGAACCGGGGGAACUGAAACAUCUAAGUACCCCGAGGAAAAGAAAUCAACCGAGAUUCCCCCAGUAGCGGCGAGCGAACGGGGAGCAGCCCAGAGCCUGAAUCAGUGUGUGUGUUAGUGGAAGCGUCUGGAAAGGCGCGCGAUACAGGGUGACAGCCCCGUACACAAAAAUGCACAUACUGUGAGCUCGAUGAGUAGGGCGGGACACGUGGUAUCCUGUCUGAAUAUGGGGGGACCAUCCUCCAAGGCUAAAUACUCCUGACUGACCGAUAGUGAACCAGUACCGUGAGGGAAAGGCGAAAAGAACCCCGGCGAGGGGAGUGAAAAAGAACCUGAAACCGUGUACGUACAAGCAGUGGGAGCACGCUUAGGCGUGUGACUGCGUACCUUUUGUAUAAUGGGUCAGCGACUUAUAUUCUGUAGCAAGGUUAACCGAAUAGGGGAGCCGAAGGGAAACCGAGUCUUAACUGGGCGUUAAGUUGCAGGGUAUAGACCCGAAACCCGGUGAUCUAGCCAUGGGCAGGUUGAAGGUUGGGUAACACUAACUGGAGGACCGAACCGACUAAUGUUGAAAAAUUAGCGGAUGACUUGUGGCUGGGGGUGAAAGGCCAAUCAAACCGGGAGAUAGCUGGUUCUCCCCGAAAGCUAUUUAGGUAGCGCCUCGUGAAUUCAUCUCCGGGGGUAGAGCACUGUUUCGGCAAGGGGGUCAUCCCGACUUACCAACCCGAUGCAAACUGCGAAUACCGGAGAAUGUUAUCACGGGAGACACACGGCGGGUGCUAACGUCCGUCGUGAAGAGGGAAACAACCCAGACCGCCAGCUAAGGUCCCAAAGUCAUGGUUAAGUGGGAAACGAUGUGGGAAGGCCCAGACAGCCAGGAUGUUGGCUUAGAAGCAGCCAUCAUUUAAAGAAAGCGUAAUAGCUCACUGGUCGAGUCGGCCUGCGCGGAAGAUGUAACGGGGCUAAACCAUGCACCGAAGCUGCGGCAGCGACGCUUAUGCGUUGUUGGGUAGGGGAGCGUUCUGUAAGCCUGUGAAGGUGUGCUGUGAGGCAUGCUGGAGGUAUCAGAAGUGCGAAUGCUGACAUAAGUAACGAUAAAGCGGGUGAAAAGCCCGCUCGCCGGAAGACCAAGGGUUCCUGUCCAACGUUAAUCGGGGCAGGGUGAGUCGACCCUAAGGCGAGGCCGAAAGGCGUAGUCGAUGGGAAACAGGUUAAUAUUCCUGUACUUGGUGUUACUGCGAAGGGGGGACGGAGAAGGCUAUGUUGGCCGGGCGACGGUUGUCCCGGUUUAAGCGUGUAGGCUGGUUUUCCAGGCAAAUCCGGAAAAUCAAGGCUGAGGCGUGAUGACGAGGCACUACGGUGCUGAAGCAACAAAUGCCCUGCUUCCAGGAAAAGCCUCUAAGCAUCAGGUAACAUCAAAUCGUACCCCAAACCGACACAGGUGGUCAGGUAGAGAAUACCAAGGCGCUUGAGAGAACUCGGGUGAAGGAACUAGGCAAAAUGGUGCCGUAACUUCGGGAGAAGGCACGCUGAUAUGUAGGUGAAGCGACUUGCUCGUGGAGCUGAAAUCAGUCGAAGAUACCAGCUGGCUGCAACUGUUUAUUAAAAACACAGCACUGUGCAAACACGAAAGUGGACGUAUACGGUGUGACGCCUGCCCGGUGCCGGAAGGUUAAUUGAUGGGGUCAGCGCAAGCGAAGCUCUUGAUCGAAGCCCCGGUAAACGGCGGCCGUAACUAUAACGGUCCUAAGGUAGCGAAAUUCCUUGUCGGGUAAGUUCCGACCUGCACGAAUGGCGUAAUGAUGGCCAGGCUGUCUCCACCCGAGACUCAGUGAAAUUGAACUCGCUGUGAAGAUGCAGUGUACCCGCGGCAAGACGGAAAGACCCCGUGAACCUUUACUAUAGCUUGACACUGAACAUUGAGCCUUGAUGUGUAGGAUAGGUGGGAGGCUUUGAAGUGUGGACGCCAGUCUGCAUGGAGCCGACCUUGAAAUACCACCCUUUAAUGUUUGAUGUUCUAACGUUGACCCGUAAUCCGGGUUGCGGACAGUGUCUGGUGGGUAGUUUGACUGGGGCGGUCUCCUCCUAAAGAGUAACGGAGGAGCACGAAGGUUGGCUAAUCCUGGUCGGACAUCAGGAGGUUAGUGCAAUGGCAUAAGCCAGCUUGACUGCGAGCGUGACGGCGCGAGCAGGUGCGAAAGCAGGUCAUAGUGAUCCGGUGGUUCUGAAUGGAAGGGCCAUCGCUCAACGGAUAAAAGGUACUCCGGGGAUAACAGGCUGAUACCGCCCAAGAGUUCAUAUCGACGGCGGUGUUUGGCACCUCGAUGUCGGCUCAUCACAUCCUGGGGCUGAAGUAGGUCCCAAGGGUAUGGCUGUUCGCCAUUUAAAGUGGUACGCGAGCUGGGUUUAGAACGUCGUGAGACAGUUCGGUCCCUAUCUGCCGUGGGCGCUGGAGAACUGAGGGGGGCUGCUCCUAGUACGAGAGGACCGGAGUGGACGCAUCACUGGUGUUCGGGUUGUCAUGCCAAUGGCACUGCCCGGUAGCUAAAUGCGGAAGAGAUAAGUGCUGAAAGCAUCUAAGCACGAAACUUGCCCCGAGAUGAGUUCUCCCUGACUCCUUGAGAGUCCUGAAGGAACGUUGAAGACGACGACGUUGAUAGGCCGGGUGUGUAAGCGCAGCGAUGCGUUGAGCUAACCGGUACUAAUGAACCGUGAGGCUUAACCUUACAACGCCGAAGGUGUUU
rnacentral:rRNA from 1 species